CCUACGGGAGGCAGCAGUGGGGAAUCUUGCGCAAUGGGGGCAACCCUGACGCAGCCAUGCCGCGUGAAUGAUGAAGGCCUUAGGGUUGUAAAGUUCUUUUGCCCGUGACGAUGAUGACGGUAACGGGAGAAUAAGCUCCGGCUAACUUCGUGCCAGCAGCCGCGGUAAUACGAAGGGGGCUAGCGUUGUUCGGAAUUACUGGGCGUAAAGCGCGCGCAGGCGGUUCGAUAAGUUAGGGGUGAAAUCCCUGGGCUCAACCCAGGAAUGGCCUUUAAGACUGUCGAGCUAGAGGACGAGAGAGGUGAGUGGAAUUCCCAGUGUAGAGGUGAAAUUCGUAGAUAUUGGGAAGAACACCGGUGGCGAAGGCGGCUCACUGGCUCGUUUCUGACGCUGAGGCGCGAAAGCGUGGGGAGCAAACAGGAUUAGAUACCCUGGUAGUCCACGCCCUAAACGAUGAGUGCCAGGUGUCGGGAAGCUUAGCUUCUCGGCGCCGCAGCUAACGCCUUAAGCACUCCGCCUCGGGGAGUACGGCCGCAAGGUUAAAACUACAAAUGAAUUGACGG
rnacentral:rRNA from 1 species